CUCUACUCUGUCUUCAAGAGGAUCUUCUCCCCCUUCCUUUGGGAAUCUUCUUCUAUUCAAUGUAUCGUCUAUUAUUCUGGAGUGGUGGCUCGGAGACAAACAGCAACUACUGCUUCUCCAGAGGACACUGGCUCAGUUACAGCACUCACACUUACUGGGUGGUUCAUGACAUUCUGCAACACUGUUUCUAGUUGGUCUGCAACCUCUCAUGAGAAAAUUCAUUGAGAAUAUUACUUUUUUGUCCUGUGUACUUAACUUCCUGUCUCUAUGUAUUUAAAUGACAAUAAAAAAAUCUCUUACAAAUUUA